rnacentral:tRNA from 1 species
UUAAUUGAAGCCAAAAAGAGGCUUAUCACUGUUAAUGAUACAAUUGAGAUCUAUACUCCAAUUAAA